UGCGGGAUAGAUUAAUGGUAGAUCGCCUGUCUCUGAAACAGGUAGUCUUGGUUCGAAUCCAAGUCCCGCAG
rnacentral:tRNA from 1 species